rnacentral:lncRNA from 10 species
CCAGGCUGGAGUGCAGUGGUGUGAUCUCGGCUCACUGCAAGCUCCGCCUCCCGGGUUCACGCCAUUCUUCUGCCUCAGCCUCCCGAGUAGCUGGGACUACAGGCGCCCGCCACCACGCCCGGCUAAUUUUUGGUAUUUUUUAGUAGAGAUGGGGUUUCACCUUGUUAGCCAAGAUGGUCUUGAUCUCCUGACCUCGUGAUCCGUCUGCCUCAGCCUCCCAAAGUGCUGGAAUUACAGGCGUCAGCCACCGGGCCCGACCCUACUUGGCCUCUUUUUUUGAGAGAGAAUUUCACUCUGUCGCCCAGGCUGGAGUGUUGUGGUGCGAUC